rnacentral:rRNA from 1 species
GACGAACCGUGCAAACGUUAUUCGGAAUCACUGGGCUUAAAGGGCGCGUAGGCGGGUCAGAUAGUCUGCGGUGAAAUCCUCCAGCUUAACUGGGGAACUGCCGUGGAUACUGCUGACCUCGAGGAGGGUAGGGGCAUCUGGAACAGCCGGUGGAGCGGUGAAAUGCGUUGAUAUCGGCUGGAACUCCGGUGGCGAAGGCGGGUCUCUGGGCCGAUACUGACGCUGAGGAGCGAAAGCGUGGGGAGCGAACAGG